UUCCUGGCUCAGGAUGAACGCUAGCGACAGGCUUAACACAUGCAAGUCGAGGGGCAGCAUAAAAGUAGCAAUACUUGGUGGCGACCGGCGCACGGGUGAGUAACGCGUAUGCAACCUACCUAUCAGAGGGGAAUAACCCGGCGAAAGUCGGACUAAUACCGCAUAAAACAGGGGCACCGCAUGGUGAUAUUUGUUAAAGAAAUUCGCUGAUAGAUGGGCAUGCGUUCCAUUAGGUAGUUGGUGAGGUAACGGCUCACCAAGCCGACGAUGGAUAGGGGAACUGAGAGGUUGGUCCCCCACACUGGUACUGAGACACGGACCAGACUCCUACGGGAGGCAGCAGUGAGGAAUAUUGGUCAAUGGGCGGGAGCCUGAACCAGCCAAGUCGCCGUGAAGGAAGAAGGAUCUAUGGUUCGUAAACUUCUUUUGCAGGGGAAUAAAGUGCAGGACGUGUCCUGUUUUGUAUGUACCCUGAGAAUAAGGAUCGGCUAACUCCGUGCCAGCCGCCGC
rnacentral:rRNA from 1 species